rnacentral:lncRNA from 13 species
CAGACAGGAAGGUAUGACGACUCUGACAUGUUACCAUGGUAGCCCCAUUACCACCAGACAGGAAGGUAUCAACACUGACAUGUUACCAUGGUAGUCCCAUUACCACCAGACAGGAAGGUAUCAACACUGACAUGUUACCAUGGUAGCCCCAUUACCACCAGACAGGAAGGUAUCAACACUGACAUGUUACCAUGGUAGCCCCAUUAUCAUCAGACAGGAAGGUAUGACGACUGACAUGUUACCAUGGUAGCCCUAUUAUCAUCAGACAGGAAGGUAUGACGACUCUGACAUGUUACCAUGGUAGCCCUAUUAUCAUCAGACAGGAAGGUAUGACGACUCUGACAUGUUACCAUGGUAGCCCCAUUACCACCAGACAGGAAGGUAUCAACACUCUGACAUGUUACCAUGGUAGCCCCACUAUCACCAGACAGGAAGGUAUGACGACUCUGACAUGUUACCAUGGUAGCCCCAUUACCACCAGACAGGAAGGUAUCAACACUGACAUGUUACCAUGGUAGUCCCAUUACCACCAGACAGGAAGGUAUCAACACUGACAUGUUACCAUGGUAGCCCCAUUACCACCAGACAGGAAGGUAUCAACACUGACAUGUUACCAUGGUAGCCCCAUUAUCAUCAGACAGGAAGGUAUGACGACUGACAUGUUACCAUGGUAGCCCUAUUAUCAUCAGACAGGAAGGUAUGACGACUCUGACAUGUUACCAUGGUAGCCCUAUUAUCAUCAGACAGGAAGGUAUGACGACUCUGACAUGUUACCAUGGUAGCCCCAUUACCACCAGACAGGAAGGUAUGACGACUCUGACAUGUUACCAUGGUAGCCCCAUUAUCACCACAUAGGAAGUUAUGACCACUGACAUGUAUGAUAAGGUAUCCCCAUUAUCACCACACAGGAAGGUAUGACGACUCUGACAUGUUACCAUGGUAACCCCAUUAUGAUCAGACAAAAUACGUAUAGGCACAGUAUCUGUAUCGGCUGGGAAUGACAAUGAAAGGUGCACAUCGUUAAUAUUAGCAGAACACUUCUAUGGUAUUAUGUAAAGGGCUGUUUAUUCUACAUGGACCUUUAUUAAAACACUUAGUUUAGAAUAUCUACAUAAAUUCAGUAUCUGCAUUCUUUUCAUUUUACUCUGUAAGCUACUGACCAAUUCAAAACUUCCUCCGGCAUCUCACCAUACAUCUGCCUGUAGUUAUUGAACUCAACCUGCAGGAGGUUUGUUGUGAUAGCGUGGGGAGGGGGGGGGGGACAGCUGCAGACAAGGUUCUGACAGAUGAGUGUGUUUCGGUGGUGGCAAGGACAUACCCAAGAAACACCCACAUCAAACCACACCCACAAGCCAACUCAUGCUUGGCUUCUGUCAUGGCUGCCAGCAUUUUAAGGAGCAAGCCAAAAAAUGAGGCCAAAUCAGCGGGUGCAGUUUCCUUUUAAAACUGGUUUUAGCACUCAGCGUUUGACACAGGGUCAGGGUCAGGGGAUUUGUAUUUAUUGAGACAUAUAUACAGGGGAGGGAGGAGAGUCAGACAGAUAUACAGGAGAGACAGAGCAGGGAGGAGAGUCAGACAGAUAUACAGGGGAGACAGAGCAGGGAGGAGAGUCAGACAGAUAUACAGGGGAGACAGAGCAGGGAGGAGAGUCAGACAGAUAUACAGGGGAGGGAGGAGAGUCAGACAGAUAUACAGGGGAGGGAGGAGAGUCAGACAGAUAUACAGGGGAGAC